AAUGAACGUUGGCGGCAUGGAUUAGGCAUGCAAGUCGAGCGGGCGUAGCAAUACGUCAGCGGCGUAAGGGACAGGAACACGUAGAUUACCUGCCCUCGGGUCUGGGAUAGCCACGGGAAACUGUGGGUAAUACCAGAUGAUAUCUCCGGAUCAAAGGUGUAAUUCCGCCCGAGGAUGGGUCUGCGUCCUAUUAGCUAGUUGGUGAGGUAAUGGCUCACCAAGGCGAUGAUGGGUAGCAGGUGUGAGAGCACGACCUGCGUCAUUGGGACUGAGACACUGCCCAGAAACCUACGGGUGGCUGCAGUCGAGAAUUUUUGGCAAUGGGCGAAAGCCUGACCAAGCGAUGCCGCGUGCGGGAUGAAGGCCUUAGGGUUGUAAACCGCUGCCAGUGGGGAGGAAAGCUUUGUGAAGAGCAAGGCUUGACCUAUCCGAAGAGGAAGUGUGGGCUAAGUUCGUGCCAGCCGCCGCAGUAACAC
rnacentral:rRNA from 1 species